UAGCUAGAACAACCAAGCAAAGCGGACUUAAGCUUGCCACCCCGAAACCUAAGCGAGCUACUCAUAAGCAGCUACCCCUGAGCGAACCCGUCUCUGUUGCAAAAGAGUGGGAUGACUUAUUAGUAGAGGUGAAAAGCCAAUCGAGCUAGGUGAUAGCUGGUUACCUGUGAAACGAAUCUAAGUUCANNNNNNNNNNCUCCUCCAGGAACCUUCACCACCCCAAUGAAGACGGUCAAGAGCAAUUUAAAGGGGGUACAGCCCCUUCAAAAAAGGAUACAACCUCCCCUAGCGGAUAAUUUUCCACACAAACAAUUGUGGGCCUUUAAGCAGCCAUCAACAAAGAGUGCGUCAAAGCUCUACUCCACAAAAAUUCUAAAACCUCACGACUCCCUUCUCAUUAACAGGUUAACCUAUACCAAUAGGAGAAUUAAUGCUA
rnacentral:ncRNA from 1 species